GCUUGUGGGCGUCACAAAUGACUGUUUUUGGAGACGUAUCUAUUUAGCUUCCUGUUGAAUACAUUUUCUGAUAUUAUUUUCCUACAAAAGUUAUUAAUUUAAAAAGACACCAAGGGUUUUUUGAGCCCCCGCGGCAAGGGAGGCAUGACCUCACCGGCCGCUCACAGCAGCGGAGGCCGCGGGUGGGACUUGCCCGUGAUGCACCCUGACUCCUUCCCGCCCCUCCCCCCAUGGUCCUACACCCCCUUUUUCAGAUGAGAACAGACACUGAGAGCAGAGAAGCAAGGCUCUGCCUCGUCCUGCCUCUGAACCCGCCUUUGCCCGCGGAGCGGUGUGACCAUGGGCAGGUGGUGACCGCUCUGGCCUCAGUUUCUCCCCAUCGCACGCAGAUAAGAGAAGUCCCUGCAGCACAGUGGGGGGUGAGGACAGAUGCCACGCGGGGCGAAGGCCAGGCGGUGCCCGUGCUCUGAAAGGACAGGCUGGAGCGAUGGAAACCCCAGACAAGUGGUCCCGAGGCAUCAUCCCACCAACCCGUGUUUACGUCUGUCCACGUGACUCCCGGACCUCAUCCGUGUGCAGAGCCAGUGACUGUGCGUGCACAGAGGUUCUGUCCUGCAUUUCUCACCAUGUGGCCACAUGCAUUAUAUACACCCCCCCCCCCCCGUUUUCCUCUCGCCCCUCAGGAUCUUGGAGGAUCUUGCCCGGACUCUGCUGUCCUCCUUACAGACAGGUGGCCGAGCUUCCCACAGGUCUUUCCAGAGAACGAGACAAGAGAGGUCCAGAGAGAGACUGAAGCCAGACUUCUGGUCCUGGCUGCAGGCUGAUACCCGACUCCAGCCACAGAAUGGCCUCUGACUCAAGCCAUAGACUGAUUCGUGACCCACACUGUGGACUUAUUUGUGAUCGUGGCUGUAGAUUGGCCCAGGCACAGGCUGACCCCUAGCCCUGGCCACAGACUAAUCUUUGACCCCAGUCGUAGGCCGAUCUCUGAGUCUGGCCACCGGCGCCCUCACUGACACCCCACCCCAUCCAGGAACUGGCAUUUCCUGAUUUGCAGCUGGUAAACUCAGCUUGAGUUGGUCAGCAUAUCUGGUCUGUCUGUCCUGCCUCUCUACCAUGAGACCACAGGGCAAGCGGGCAGUUCUCUUUUUUAAGCGAAGAGAGCAGCGUUAGAAAGCCCCUCUGCAAACUUCCUUCUGCCCUGGAUGGGAGGUCUGGUGCUCUGGCAGCCGUCUUGUGACCAUGAGGAGAAGCGUGUGGGGAUGAGAGACAGUGCUCUGAACCUGGCACAGGGGGAGCAGAAAAGAGCUUGCGUCCCUGAUCGCUUCAUCACGCGAUCAAACCAACCUUGGGAUUCUUAAAUAAACCAUGAACCUGC